AGUGAACGCUGGCGGUAGGCCUAACACAUGCAAGUCGAACGGCAGCACAGUAAGAGCUUGCUCUUACGGGUGGCGAGUGGCGGACGGGUGAGGAAUACAUCGGAAUCUACUUUUUCGUGGGGGAUAACGUAGGGAAACUUACGCUAAUACCGCAUACGACCUACGGGUGAAAGCAGGGGAUCUUCGGACCUUUCGCGAUUGAAUGAGCCGAUGUCGGAUUAGCUAGUUGGCGGGGUAAAGGCCCACCAAGGCGACGAUCCGUAGCUGGUCUGAGAGGAUGAUCAGCCACACUGGAACUGAGAAACGGUCCAGAAUCCUACGGGAGGCAGCAGUGGGGAAUAUUGGACAAUGGGCGCAAGCCUGAUCCAGCCAUACCGCGUGGGUGAAGAAGGCCUUCGGGUUGUAAAGCCCUUUUGUUGGGAAAGAAAAGCAGCAGGUUAAUACCCCGCUGUUCUGACGGUACCCAAAGAAUAAGCACCGGCUAACUUCGUG
rnacentral:rRNA from 1 species